AGAAGUGACCACCUGAAAUUAACGUUUCCCACCUUUGGAAGGCAAUCCGACGACCCAGAUCCAUUGCUAUAUCUGGCCCGUUGUCAAGAUUUUCUAGCAUUACAUCCCUUGGUUGAUGCAGACCUGCUGGCCACUUUCCGAACUGUCCUGUAUGGAACUGCCCGUGACUGGUGGGAAGUUGCCAGAUCGUCUAUAACAACAUGGAGUGAGUUUGAAUCCGCCUUCCUCUCAGCUUUCCUCUCGGAGGAUUAUGAAGAUGAGCUGGCAGAUCGGGUCAGAAAUAGGAUCCAUGAGAGAAGGAAUCCAUCAGGGAUUUUGCAUUCUCGUACAGAGCUCUCUGCAAAAGGUGGAAGCCUGCCCUGACAGAAAGUGACAUGGUAAAAUUGAUCCUUAAAAAUAUCAAGCCCUAUCUCGCCAGCCAGCUACGCAGCAGAAUAAGCACAGUCGAAGAUCUAGUGAAGCUGGGUCAUCAGCUGGAGAAGGAUUAUGCACAGCACAUCCAAUAUGAGGGACGUAAGGCCAUAAAACCACCUACCACGCCACAAAGACCAAUCCCUAACCAACCCGUGGAGAAGCCUCAAGUACAGUGCUGGAGGUGUAAAGGUUACCACUCACCUGGAACCUGCCCACAUUUUCUGUCUGCUUCUUCCAAUCAGCCAUUUGAUCAGUAUCGUGCCAACAAUAACAAGCGUUCCUUCCAACCUUUGAAGUCUGGGGGUCCGCCUCGCCAGCCAACUACCCCUUCCAGCAACACGGUGUCUGCAGCAGCUACACCCUGGCCAUCUAUGACCAUGGAAGAGAGUACCACCACCGGUUUCAAUACCCCAUAUCAGCCAACUGCGGUACCACAACAAUUAGUAAUACCUAUUAGUAUUGGCACUUGGAAAGGGAAGGCUAUAUUGGAUACAGGCGCAAGUUACACCCUCCUCCAUGAAAACCUUUGGUCAGAGCUUAACCCACAAAUCAAACUUCACCCGUGGACCCUUGGACCUCUUUAUUUAGCUAAUGGUGUGGCAGAAGUUCCAUUAGGCUGGAUAAAUCUGCCCAUUAUUCUCCAUGAUAAGACUUUCUCAGUGUGGGUGGCUGUCCUCACCUCCAAAGCCCUUGCUUAUUCAGUGAUCUUAGGUUUGAACUUUAUAUUCUCUAGUGGACUGCAGAUUAACGUGACAGACAGGAAAUAUUCAUUCAAGUCUGCCCCUAAUGAAGACUACCCUUUUCAACCAGGUCAGGCCAGUAUACCGGCAGUGAAACUACCACACCUGGAAAAGAGACAACACCAAAAGAGCGUUAAGCAAAGCCUCUCCCUGCUUAGUUCCAUUCCUCCACCCACACCCCCAUUGUUAUCAGGCCCACUUGACAACUUGGAUGAUCAAGAGUUCAUUGACCUGGCUGUAAAUGGUGCUCACUUACCACCGGAAGGAAAACAACAACUACGGCAAAUCUUAGAGUCCAACUCCGAGGUGUGUACCCUUCGUCCAGGACGGACGGAUGUUCUCCAACACCACCUCUAUAUCACCCAUCCAGUGCCCAUUAAACAGCGACCGUAUCGCAUGAGUCCUUCAAAGCAAGCUGUUGUGAGAG
ensembl:lncRNA